rnacentral:rRNA from 1 species
CCUACGGGAGGCAGCAGUGAGGAAUAUUGGUCAAUGGGCGUAAGCCUGAACCAGCCAAGUCGCGUGAGGGAUGAAGGUUCUAUGGAUCGUAAACCUCUUUUAUAAGGGAAUAAAGUGUGGGACGUGUCCUAUUUUGUAUGUACCUUAAGAAUAAGGAUCGGCUAACUCCGUGCCAGCAGCCGCGGUAAUACGGAGGAUCCGAGCGUUAUCCGGAUUUAUUGGGUUUAAAGGGUGCGUAGGCGGCCUUUUAAGUCAGCGGUGAAAGUGUGUGGCUCAACCAUAGAAUUGCCGUUGAAACUGGGGGGCUUGAGUAUGUUAGAGGUAGGCGGAAUGCGUGGUGUAGCGGUGAAAUGCUUAGAUAUCACGCAGAACCCCGAUUGCGAAGGCAGCCUGCCAGGCCAUGACUGACGCUGAUGCACGAAAGCGUGGGGAUCAAACAGGAUUAGAUACCCCUGUAGUC